AAAAAAACAGGUGCUCCAAAAUACAAUGGGCAUGGGCAAGGAAACUCUCUCCACCACAGAUACAACCGGCGCUACCUUCAAGCUAGUUGGCUUCAAUAAUUUCAUCCGUGCUAAUCCCCGUUCCGAUUUCUUCUCCGUAAAACGCUUCCACCAUAUCGAAUUCUGGUGCGGCGAUGCAACCAAUACAUCUCGUCGUUUCUCUUGGUCUCUUGGCAUGCCGAUUACAGCAAAAUCAGACCUCUCCACCGGAAAUUCAGUUCAUGCGUCGUAUCUCCUCCGUUCUGUUUCAGGCGAACUUCAAUUUGUUUUCACUGCUCCUUAUUCGCCGUCAAUUUCAGUACCGUCAACGGCAGGUAUACCUAGUUUUUCCACCCCUACUUAUCGGGAUUUUACGGCGAAGCAUGGUCUUGGUGUUCGUGCUGUUGCGUUGGAGGUGGAGAACGCUUACCUGGCGUUCUCCGCUAGUGUGGCUCGUGGGGCGAAACCCCGGUUUGAACCUGUAACGAUUGAUGAGCAUGUGGCUGUUGCUGAAGUUCAUCUAUAUGGCGAUGUCGUUUUGCGGUUUGUGAGUCUUGUUAAAGAUGCGGAUACCCUCAUUUUCCUACCAGGUUUUGAGGCCAUGGAUGAAACAUCAUCAUUCAAGGAACUGGAUUAUGGGAUUCACCGACUGGACCAUGCCGUUGGGAAUGUGCCGGAGUUGGGUCCUGUAGUGGACUACAUCAAGGCAUUUACGGGGUUUCAUGAAUUUGCGGAGUUUACAGCUGAAGAUGUUGGAACUGCUGAGAGCGGGCUGAACUCAGUUGUGUUGGCAAACAAUGACGAGACAGUAUUGCUUCCGUUGAAUGAGCCGGUAUAUGGAACUAAAAGGAAGAGUCAAAUUCAGACUUAUUUAGAGCAUAAUGAAGGGGCAGGAGUGCAACAUUUAGCUUUGGUUACUGAGGAUAUAUUCAGAACAUUGAGGGAAAUGUGGAAAAGGAGUGGAGUUGGGGGAUUUGAAUUCAUGCCUGCACCUCCGCCUACUUAUUAUAAGAAUUUGAGAAGUAGGGCCGGGGAUGUACUCAGUGACGAACAAAUCCAGGCGUGUGAAGAAUUGGGGAUCUUGGUUGACAGGGAUGAUCAGGGGACUCUGCUUCAGAUAUUUACCAAGCCUGUGGGAGACAGGCCAACAAUAUUUAUAGAAAUAAUUCAGAGAAUCGGGUGCAUGCUCAAAGAUGAAAAAGGACAAGUCUAUCAGAAGGGCGGUUGUGGAGGCUUCGGUAAGGGAAACUUCUCUGAGCUGUUUAGAUCGAUCGAGGAAUACGAGAAGAUGCUUGAAGCCAAACAUGUUAAUCAAGUAGCUGCUGUCGAAUGAAUAUAUACGAGCAUUAGCUUGCAAUCUAAUUGAAAUUUGAAAGGGGCAUCUAAGCUUCCAUUUGAUCUUUCUACAAUUAAUUAUGAAAUAAAAAAUAGCUGUUGUGUAAAUAGCAUGGAGGGAAACAAAGUCAAGUAAUUUAAGUAUAAUGUUGAUCAUAAGUCC
rnacentral:misc_RNA from 1 species